CGGGGUUACAGCCUUGCUGAAUUAUUCACCCUUGUCUUUUGCGUACUUCUUGUUUCCUUGGUGGGUUCGCCCACCACUAGGACAAACAUAAACCUUUUGUAAUUGCAAUCAGCGUCAGUAACAAGUUAAUAAUCACACCUUUCAACAACGGAUCUCUUGGUUCUGGCAUCGAUGAAGAACGCAGCGAAAUGCGAUAAGUAGUGUGAAUUGCAGAAUUCAGUGAAUCAUCGAAUCUUUGAACGCACAUUGCGCCCUUUGGUAUUCCAAAGGGCAUGCCUGUUCGAGCGUCAUUUGUACCCUCAAGCUUUGCUUGGUGUUGGGCGUCUUGUCUCUAGCUUUGCUGGAGACUCGCCUUAAAGUAAUUGGCAGCCGGCCUACUGGUUUCGGAGCGCAGCACAAGUCGCACUCUCUAUCAGCAAAGGUCUAGCAUCCAUUAAGCCUUUUUUUCAACUUUUGACCUCGGAUCAGGUAGGGAUACCCGCUGAACUUAAGCAUAUCAAUAAGCGGAGGAAC
rnacentral:rRNA from 1 species